UAAACAGUGUAUUCAGCUCCAUCUAUGUCUAAAUUUAUCCUAAUGAGAAUGUACCAUGUUCAUAUUUACAGGCAUUCUAUAUCCGAAGAUAGAAAAAUUCGUAAUCAUAUCAGUUAUCAGUUCGUUUGAUUGCAACAUGAACUACUGCCCUAAAACUGGUCCAGAUGCACAAUGGAAAAAUAACGCUGAGUGUGAUGAUAAUGGGCUCGGCAAUGCAAACUUCAUUGCUCUUUUUUGACGGUACCAACUUAUAAUGUAUAACGUGAUAUAAAAUAUAAUGUAAUUAUAAAAUAGUUACUA